CCUACGGGUGACAGCAGUGGGGAAUAUUGGGCAAUGGGCGCAAGCCUGACCCAGCAACGCCGCGUGAAGGAAGAAGGCUUUCGGGUUGUAAACUUCUUUUGUCAGGGAAGAGUAGAAGACGGUACCUGACGAAUAAGCCACGGCUAACUACGUGCCAGCAGCCGCGCUAAUACGUGGGUGGCACGCGUUGUCCGGAUUUACUGGGUGUAAAGGGCGUGUAGCCGGGUUGACAAGUCAGAUGUGAAAUCCUGCGGCUUAACCGCAGAACUGCUUUUGAAACUGUUGAUCUUGAGUACUGGAGAGGCAGAUGGAAUUCCUAGUGUAGCGGUGAAAUGCGUAGAUAUUAGGAGGAACACCAGUGGCGAAGGCGGUCUGCUGGACAGUAACUGACGGUGAGGCGCGAAAGCGUGGGGAGCAAACAGGAUUAGAUACCCCAGUAGUC
rnacentral:rRNA from 1 species